GCCAUGCAUGUCUAAGUACAGACCGCUUACGAAUCGGUGACACCGCGAAUGGCUCAUUAGAUCGAUCAUUGUUCCUUAGAUCGUACGUGCUGGUUGCAGCGAGUUGGAUAACUGUGGCAAUUCUAGAGCUAAUACAUGCGAGACGAGUCCGGAGGCGCGGGCCUCGCGUCCGCGCCGAAGGGCGCUUUUAUUAGACCUUUGUGGGGUCGUGCGGCUUCGGCCGGCGGCCUCCGUGGUGACUCUGAAUAACUCUGUGUUUGAGCCGAUCGCAAGCCGGCGCAUCGCGUCGGCGGCGACGUAUCUUUCAAGUGUUCGGCCUAUCAAGUUUCGACGGUAGCUGCCUUGGCUACCGUGCUACUGACGGGUACCGGGGAAUCUGGGUUCGAUUCCGGAGAGGGAGCAUGAGAAACGGCUACCACGUCCAAGGAAGGCAGCAGGCGCGCAAAUUACCCACUCCCGGCACGGGGAGGUAGUGACGAAAAAUACCGAUGCGGGGCCCCCCGCGGGGCUCUCGUAAUCUGGACUGAGUACACUCUAAACCCUUGCUUAGCGAGGAUCUACUGGAGGGCAAGUCUGGUGCCAGCAGCCGCGGUAAUUCCAGCUCCAGCAGCGUAUACUAAAGUUGUUGCAGUUAAAAAGCUCGUAGUUGGAUGUCGGUUUAUCGAAGCCGGCGUCUCCGGCCUGACGGCCGGGCGUCGGUGGGCUAAGCGUCGGUGCGGUGACUACCUCGUCGCCGCUACUGACCGGCCCGACCCUGUCGCGCGCGCCCCCCGCGGGGCUCAUGUCCCCGGGGCGGUGCGCCGCGAUCUUUACUUUGAAAAAAUGAGAGUGUUCAAGACGGGCUCCUGAGGCCUGAAUAGCGAAAGCAUGGAAUAAUGGAAUAAGAGCGCCCUCCCCCCGAAAGGGAUCGGGAGGCGCGCUAAUGAUGAAAAGAGACGGUCGGGGGCAUUCGUAUUGCGGCGUGAGAGGUGAAAUUCUUGGACCGUCGCAAGACGAACUGGUGCGAAAGCGUUUGCCAAGGACGUUUUCAUUAAUCGAGAGCGAAAGUCAGAGGCUCGAAGACGAUCAGAUACCGUCGUAGUUCUGACCGUAAACGAUGUCGACCGGGGCUCGGCGGCCCGUCGUUGUCUUUAGUACUAGUGACUCCGCCGGUACCCUUCCCCCGCGGGAAACCUUUGAGUUUUUGGAUUCCGGGGGGAGUAUGGUUGCAAAGCUGAAACUUAAAGGAAUUGACGGAAGGGCACCACCAGGAGUGGAGCCUGCGGCUUAAUUUGACUCAACACGGGAAAGCUUACCCGGCCCGGACACCGUGAGGAUUGACAGAUUGAGAGCUCUUUCUCGAUUCGGUGGAUGGUGGUGCAUGGCCGUUCUUAGUUGGUGGAGUGAUUUGUCUGGUUGAUUCCGAUAACGAACGAGACUCUAGCCUGCUAACUAGUGCGGGGAGUCGACGGCGGCGAGCGCGGCCUUCGCGGGUCCGCUCCAGCCGUCAUUCCGGCGUCGGUCGUGUCCGGCGUCGGAGCGUGGCCCCCGCCGUGCGCGACGUCCUUUCUCGCGAGAGGGGGGCGUCCGCGACUUCUUAGAGGGACAAGCGGUUCUAAAGCCGCACGAGAUUGAGCGAUAACAGGUCUGUGAUGCCCUUAGAUGUUCGGGGCCGCACGCGCGCUACACUGAAGGUAGCAGAGGGUGUGAUCGCUCCCGCCCCGAAGUGGGGCGGGUAAACCGUUGAACUACCUUCGUGGCUUGGGACCGGGGCUUGGAACUGUUGCCCGCGAACGAGGAAUUCCCAGUAAGCGCGAGUCAUAAGCUGGCGUUGAUUACGUCCCUGCCCUUUGUACACACCGCCCGUCGCUACUACCGAUUGGACGGUUUAGCGAGGCCCCCGGAUCAGCGCGCAACGGGACCGUCUUUGCGGCGGGACUGCUGCGACUUGCUGAGAAGAUGGUCGAACUUGACCGUCUAGAGGAAGUAAAAGUCGUAACAAGGUUUCCGUA
rnacentral:rRNA from 1 species